rnacentral:rRNA from 1 species
GAUGAACGCUGGCGGCGUGCCUAAUACAUGCAAGUCGAGCGAAGCGGGGACGGGUGAGUAACACGUGGAUAAACUCCUUUAAGACUGGGUUAACUUCGGGAAACCGGUGCUAAAACGGAUAAUCAACGAUCGAUCCGCGCUGGAUUAGCUAGUUGGUAAGGUAACGGCUUACCAAGGCAACGAUGCAUAGCCGACCUGAGAGGGUGAUCGGCCACACUGGGACUGAGACACGGCCCAGACUCCUACGGGAGGCAGCAGUAGGGAAUCUUCCGCAAUGGGCGAAAGCCUGACGGAGCAACGCCGCGUGAGUGAUGAAGGUCUUCGGAUCGUAAAACUCUGUUAUUAGGGAAGCGGUACCUAAUCAGAAAGCCACGGCUAACUACGUGCCAGCAGCCGCGGUAAUUC